AAUUUCAGUUAAAGCUUAUCUUUGGAAAGGUCAAUUGCCAACACUGAAGUCGCAAUCCUUGCAAUGUCUUGUGGUGGAGGAAUGGAAGUCACACUUUUGUUGUGUUUUCUUCUGACGUUGGCGGGAUCUGCUGAAUGUCUUGAAUGCUAUAGUUGUUCAAAUGUUGUCAAUUUGGAUAGUUGUAACACAACAAAAGCAUGUGGACUGGGUCAGUCGUGUUUCCACAAUGUAACUCAACAGAACACAGUCUUGGUUGUGUUGAAAAUAAGCGUUGUGAUUCCCAUGCCUCGGUUUCUAGCACUAUAGUUGGACGAGAUAUUGGUGCUAGACAGACAAAAUGCUUCGAAUGUUGUUCAACUGAUCACUGCAACACGGCUGUGUGUCAACAUUUAGAACCCAAGGUAUGUGUCGAUGAUAAAUCUAUGGACUGUGCAAGGCUUAACUCUUUGUUCAGCGUUUGUAGCGAUAUAAACCAUGCAAGGAACGUGUGUCCCAGAUUCUGUGGACUUUGUAAUAUUGUUGACGGAAACUGGACAACAUGGUCGUCUUGAGUAAAUGUGACGUUACCUGUGAAAAUGGGCAACAGUCUCGGACAAGAACGUGUACACAACCGGCACAAAGAAUGGUGGUCUAGACUGUGUUGGCGGAAGUACUGAUGUGAAAGCUUGCCAAAAGCAACUUUGUCCUGUACAUGGCGGAUGGAGUGACUGGUCACAAUGGGGUGUGUGCUCGGUUACAUGUGAUAUGGGCUUACAACGUCGCUCUCGAAACUGUUCUAAUCCUCAUCCAAGUCUCGCAGGCAACCAUUGCUUUGGUGACAGUGUGGAUCACAAACUCUGCAUGCCUGCACCAUGUGCAAAUGGUGGCUGGAGUGACUGGAGCUCAUGGAGUACAUGCAGUGCGACAUGUGGAGGAGGAAUUCGUUCUCAAUCAAGAUCUUGUUCGAACCCUCAUCCAUCGCCGUAUGGGAAAUAUUGCUUAGGUUCUAAUGACAGAGUGGAGUCAUGUGCCAAUAGGAAUUGUGAAACGAAACACUGCUUGUCCAGUCCAUUGGUACAUGGUCAAUGUUAUUGAAGUUCUUCACGAUUAUCUAUGUUCUUGCAACUAUGGUUACGAAGGCCGUUACUGCAAUAUCUCGGUCAGCCAUUGCCAACCCGAUCCAUGCAUUAAUGGCACAUGUGUAGACCUGUUAAAUGAUUAUUCUUGUACCUGUCAUCACGGGUUCGAGGGGCGUCAUUGUAACAUUUCCAGUUCACCUUGCAAGACAAGCCCGUGCAAACAUGGUCAAUGUUUUGAAAGUAAAACUGGUUACAUUUGUGUUUGUGAAGACGGUUUUGGUGGAAAACAAUGUGAUAUAUCUAAUUAUUACUGUUAGACAAAUCCAUGUAUGCAUGGAACGUGUAUCUCUGGAAACUCAGAUUACACAUGUACCUGUAGUACCGGUUAUGUUGGAAAGAACUGUGACAUCACAAAUGCAUCAGACUGUUAUGACAUGCUGCACAGGGACAUAAGCAGUAAGAGCGGAGUGUAUAAUAUUACCUUGUGGAGAUCUAAACAGGUGAAAGAAGUCUUUUGCGAUAUGGAAACCGACUUAGGAGGAUGGACGGUAUGUUAUAUUUUUUGGAACUUUUAUUGCGGUAUUGA